GUGUCAGCCGCCGCGGUAAUACGAAGGGGGCUAGCGUUGCUCGGAAUUACUGGGCGUAAAGGGAGCGUAGGCGGAUAGUUCAGUCAGAGGUGAAAGCCCAGGGCUCAACCUUGGAAUUGCCUUUGAUACUGGCUGUCUUGAGUAUGGGAGAGGUUAGCGGAACUCCGAGUGUAGAGGUGAAAUUCGUAGAUAUUCGGAAGAACACCAGUGGCGAAGGCGGCUAACUGGCCCAUUACUGACGCUGAGGCUCGAAAGCGUGGGGAGCAAACAGGAUUAGAAACCCUCGUAGUCC
rnacentral:rRNA from 1 species